GCAUUGUCGGAGAUAGUGAAUUGUUCAAUUGCUUAACUGUGUUCAUGAAUGAGAAUUGUGUUUGAACUCAAUUGAUGUGUGUAUUUGUUGUGUGGGAGUUGGGGCGUUGCUUGAAUGUAGAGUCUUCAUCGAAUAUAUAUUUUGUGGUGAGAGACUAACAUGGAUGAAUUUUGUGUGUAAAUACGUUGCAAAUCCUCACGAGACUAUAGCUCGGCCACUAGGAAUAACCUUGUAGUUUAAAGACUUGUUACACGUGCUAAUUGUAGUUAUGAGUCCGACGAAGUGGCCUAAGAUAGUUUGUUUGUUUGUUAUUUUUUUUUUCUUUUCUUUUUACUUUGCUCGAGGACUUGCAUUUGCUAAGUCUCAAGUCAUUGUUACUUGGCUUAAUUAUUCCACUUAUAUUUUUUUUUUAGUUGUUUUUUUUUUUUUUUUUUUGUAGUUGAACUCUUGUGGUGGGAUAGUUCUUUAAAUGGAGUUUUUCAGGAGUUUGUGGAGCCUUGAUGAUAGAGUGCCAAUUGGGUUACAAGAACAAGAAGGAAAAUUAAGGUUCAGCACUUUUCUGCCUGGGCGAGGGGAGCAGAAACAAAAUUAGCUCUCAGCAUUUUUCUACCCGAAUCCAACAGAUGGAUUCACAAAUAUUCCAUUAACAGAAUCGAACUUCAAACUGCAGAAACCAUAUGACAUGUCACUUGAGCAGCGCUACAGCUUCCAAAAUGGAGUUCACUGCUUGUGGCUCUAUGCCGAUGACAAGCCACCUACCCAGCUCCGCACUGAGAUUCGCAUACUAGGGCUUGACUAUUCAUCUGGAGUUUGGCAAUUCGAAGGCUAUGCGUUUGUGCCAAAUGGAACCUCUGGUGCAACCAUAGCACAGAUCCAUGGUAAACAGUCUUUCAUAUAUGAAAAAGUUUUUUUUUUUUAGCUUUUUUUAGUGAAAUAUUCACAAAUGUUAAUUUCUGUGAAAAUUUUGAUGUGUGAAAAAUCUCGAGGGUCCAACAAUGAUGAGUAUUUAAGACAAAUAGAUAAAAGGAUUUGGCGGCUAAGAAUUGAGUAUCCAUUUCCCUACUAUGCCGUCAAAAAAAAAAAAAAAAAAAAUUCUCUACUAUGGAUUCUCUCUCCUUCCUUGUCGCUAUCUCCAAAACACAGUUUUUUCUUGAUGAGAUGAUUAGUACUUAAAAAGGGUGUGAUUAAGCUAAAUUAAGGACACUGAUAUACCUAUGGUCUACUCUGGUUGUGCCAACAAAUGUAUCCAGCCAAUUGGCAACCAUAACAAUUUGUAAUGCCUAAUUUUUCUUAAACA